GUGAAUCAUCAAAUUUUUGAACGCAAAUUGCACUCUCCUCGGAGAGUAUGCCUGUUUGAGGGUCAGCCUAAAAAAAUUGACAUUGUUGCUGUUUUUGCGGUGACCUUUGUUGGAAAUUUGGUUAUUUUUAACCUUUGGGGUUUUAGCGGCCUAAAAUUUUCUUUACGAUUCCAAGAACGUUUCCAAGAUAUUUACUUCCUACCACUUUAAGGU
rnacentral:misc_RNA from 1 species